rnacentral:rRNA from 2 species
AGGUGCGAUCAUACUAACACUAAGCACCGGAUCCCAUCUGAACGCCACAGUCAAGCGUGCUUGGGCGAGGGUAGUACUAGGAUGGGUGACCUCUAGGGAAAUCCUCGUGUUGCACCUC